UACGGAGGGGGCUAGCGUUGUUCGGAAUUACUGGGCGUAAAGCGUGCGCAGGCGGUCCGCAAAGUCUGAUGUGAAAGCCCCGGGCUCAACCUGGGAACUGCAUUGGAAACUAACGGGCUCGAGUGUGGCAGAGGGGGGUGGAAUUCCACGUGUAGCAGUGAAAUGCGUAGAGAUGUGGAGGAACACCGAUGGCGAAGGCAGCCCCCUGGGCUAACACUGACGCUCAGGCACGAAAGCGUGGGGAGCAAACAGG
rnacentral:rRNA from 1 species